rnacentral:rRNA from 1 species
CAUUAGUGCCGGUGUAAUUCCCCGCGGGCGGGCCAGCGUCGGUUUGGGCGNCCGGUCAAAGGCCCUCGGAAUGUAACGCCCCCCGGGGCGUCUUAUGGCCGAGGGUGCCAGGCGGCCAGCCCGGACCGAGGAACGCGCUUUGGCUCGGACGCUGGCAUAAUGGUCGUAAGCGACCCGUCUUGAAACACGGACCAAGGAGUCUAACAUUUACGCGAGUGUUCGGGUGUCAAACCCGUGCGCGCAGUGAAAGCGAACGGAGGUGGGAACCCCUCGGGGUGCACCAUCGACCGAUCCUGAUGUCUUCGGAUGGAUUUGAGUAAGAGCGUAGCUGUUGGGACCCGAAA